rnacentral:tRNA from 1 species
AGCCGCAGUGCCGCGGCAGCGGCACCGGCCUUCUCCGGGCCGGCGCCGGCGCCGGUGCCGGCACCCGUGGUCCCCGCGGCGCGGGUCC